rnacentral:lncRNA from 1 species
AUCGAACCUCCCUCCUCCCUUCUAGAUCGAGAGAGAGAACUCGCCUCCUCCUUUCCAGAUCGCCGCCGCCACCUCCCUCCACAAGGUACAGCCACUUGACCUCGUGGGGCCCAUCGUCUAGCAGCCCGAGUACAACCUCUUCUCCCGCCACAAGGUACUGCCGCUGCUGCCUCGAUUAUUACUUCAGUUAAUCCUACAUUCUGCUGCUGCUACUGCUAAUCUCGAUUUGAUCCUUAAUUGAUCCAUUGUUGAGCGGUACUGUGGUACUACUGGAGUAUCAGCAAUGAUGCGUUGGGUGUGUUGCUAAUCUUGAUUUGAUGUCUAAUUAGUGAAUCAGUGGUACUUUACUAAUAUACUGUAUUAGCAAUGAUAUCUUGGAUGUGUGGAUUGAUGUGUACAACUGUUGCUGCUGUAGAUCAUUUAUUGUAGGAGUACAACUGUUGCUACUGUCAUCUCAUUUUGGUUGCCUCAAAGUAUUCAAAACUACAGUUUUUCAAAAACUAUGGUAUUCUAGUAAUACUUUGAAAAUACUUUGCAUCCAAACGGGGCCUGCAAUUAGCACAUAGUUGCGUUGUAUAGUUGCUUAUAUAAUCAGAUGUUGUAUGUAGUCACGUACGCUUUCCAAUUUUGAUCCAAUGCUUGCUUCCUAGCUCACGUGUGUCAUUUUUUCAGAUAGUUGCGACUCCUUUAUAAUUGACAUGCUUAUUGUUUCUCAAUGAAGAGAGUACAAGCAGACGGGCGGUCUGAACUGAUGCCAUGUUGAUAUGUCUGCUUCAUCUGUGCUUACCCUUGUGGAUAGCAUCUGAGAGAAAACAAGAUCUUUCAUUUUCAGCAAUAGGUGUUUGUUCUCUAAUUCUCAUAUUUGUGCCAUAGUUUGUAUUCUUCCUAGUAGUUAGAUGGGGUUAAAUUUUUAACUUGACUCCAAGAUCCAAUCCAAUGGGGUCAUAGUGGGCAUGGGUAGGGCGAUGGUUUACUUAUUAACCCUUUGAAGUGUUUGCCAUUGCCCUGGAGUCAAAUGGUCUGACCGAGAUUCUCAGUUUUGGACAAUCUUCAAAUUCUUUUGACUCUUCCUACUUGUAUAUCCUUACACAAUCAAUAAAAAAUUCCAAGUGAACAAAUGAAUCUCUGCUUAUUAUCUGAUGAUACCUUUUAUUAAUGUUGUCCAUUUGUCUCUGCUAUUUCCAUCGCAAAUUUCUUGUGCGGCAUCGGGUGGCAAAUGAGGUGAAAUAUUGUGUGUUAAACACUGAAUCUUUGAUGUGUUUACAAAACUCCGCUUAUUAUCUGAUGCCACAUCAGCUUCGAUCCACAUUUUCAAGUUCUCUUUUCUGCACAGUUUCUUUAUCAUUCCUGUGAAUUUCAUGUCGUUGAUGGCAGUGAUUUGAUUCUAUCCGCACUUCUGAUUAAUCCAUGAAGUACAAGGGAAAACAUGGUUGAAUUUCUUAAUAUGAGCCAUACAAUAGUAAAAUCUUGUUCUCUUGUAGAUUUUGUGUUCUUGUUUUACCGUGGCUGUGAUGAUUAACAGCUUCAGCAAACAUGCCAGUUCUGCUUCUGAGAAUUCAUGACUGAAAAAUCUGUUAGACAAGAUCUGAGCCAUUUUGCACUUAGAAAAGUUUUGUUCUCCCAUUGUUGAUACGUGAAUAUUAAUGAUUAUUACGUUACAUACAUUCUAUAUCUCGGUUUCUAGCAUGUAAUUUGUUCUGAGACACCAUCUGAAUUGCCAAUGAUACUACACCCAACAUUUGGAGGUGCAGAUGGCUCCAGGAUCCUGUUUACAGGAUGAACCUACCUGGAGGCGCUGUAUCCACAUGACAUUCAUGGGCAAGUUCUGAGGUUCUUCAUGAUCACCUCAAACUUUUCUUGAUUUUUUCAAGUUGACUUCUGCUUUUUUACUUGGUAAAUUAAGUGGCUGUUUAUUUAUCUUUGCCGAGUUUAACUAUCCUCUCACAAGUACCUCUGAUUUGCGGAAGAGGCUGAAAAACUCGCAGAUUGUGUGUUGUCAUCAGCUUCGUCUCUUGGUCCUACGAGAUGGGAGUUAAAUAACGACACCAGAUUAACUCUUAUGCAUUCCUGCCUGAAUCAACUAUUUAGCAUAAUCAAUGGAAAGUUAUCUUAAGUAACAAACUCAUGUUUGACAGAACUGAUGGAAUAAAAACCUGAAAACAUAAAUAAAAAUCUCAAGAAAUUUUAAAAGUUGGGUGUACUAUUGCCAUGUCGAGUAGCUUUGUUUGUGGUAACUAGCUUGAGCAGCAUAUUAUGGAAGAACAAAAAUUAUUACUGGAGAUAAUAGCUUGAAUUAGUUUUAGCUUCAACCCAUUGUAUUCUUUAUUUCUUUUGAUUUGUGGCUUGUGGUUAAAACUAGUUCACUGUUAGUUUCAUUUGUGAUGGCCAAUAGGCCAAUAGAUGUGAGAUCCAAGGGAGUUGUUUUUGCUCUAUGAUUUGGCUCUUCUGUUAUAUUUUGAUGAUAUAGUCACUGGAAUGCGGUUGGCCAUUGGUAUGUCAGACCUUCUGUUGUCUAGGGAGGUUUUCCUUCUCCACGUAAUGACAUUUUCAGAUUAGAAUAUUAGUUUGCUUUUGUAUUUUCCUCUUGAUUUUGUUUCAUAAGACUUGUCAACACAAGGUUUGCCUUUGAGAGAACCUAGUGGAUUUUCUCUUCCAUACCGGUUCCGUUGCGGGCGUACACUGAUUUAGAGCCUCCAUCGUGUCUCACUCUCCACAUCUGUUGCUGGGUGUCAGAUUGGUUCUUGAACAUUUUGAAUCUAAUCUUUGUUUUUUGUUGUAUGGCUGCUGUUUUUCAUUUUUGUCCGUGGCCUUCAUAAUCUCGCAUGUUCAUAAUAUAUUGCUGGAAUUGAGCUUAAUAUUCAUGUGUGUAUGUGUGUGUGUGUGUCGAGUAAAGUUUUGGUUUGUGCUGCUCCUUUGUAACGUGAUGAAACAAAGAAUGUCCUUUACUCCUUUUUUGAAUGGAAUAUCCAUAAUACAUUGGCUCUAGUUUUUCUAAUUUUUAUCAGCUGAUUCAUGUAACAGGGCGUCCGUGGAAGGCCAAGUCCUGACUAUGGCCCUCGAGUGAGUCCGGCAUUUGCUCGCUAUUGAAGGAGCUACAUGUAGAAGAAGAAAACACUUGUAGAGCUUGUAACUGAUUCCCAUAGAUGUAGAGCUUGUAUCAACUAAGCUUUUAUUACGUGUAACUUGUAGAACUUGUAAAUGCUACAGCUUGUAGGACGUGUCAUUUGUAGAGCUUGUAAAUAAGCUUUUAUAUGCUAUAGCUUGUAGGACGUGUCAUUUGUAGAGAUUGUGUUGAAUCUGGCUGUUGUUAUUUGAAGUAUCAUGUGUGUGUUUUGCUUGCCAAUUUAACUACUGGUUAUUUUCUUAUUGUCAAAUUGAAAUAUGAAGAAUCUGGGCCUAAUAGCUAGG